rfam:Coniochaeta ligniaria NRRL 30616 unplaced genomic scaffold CONLIGscaffold_2, whole genome shotgun sequence.
UCCGGUAUAGUGUAACGGUUAACAUAUCGCGUUUUCAAAAAGACCAUUCUGGCCUAAAGAUCCGCGGGGCUCGGGGUUCGAUUCCCCGUACCGGAG